UCUUAGACUUUUGUUUUUUUUUGUGAACUUCCUUUUGAUUUUAUUUAUAUUUUGUAUUGACUUUUAUUUUAUUUUUUGUCUUUGAUUUUUUAUGUCUUUUUUUCUACAUUUGUUUUUUUUUUGUUUUUCUUUGUAUAUUCUAAACGAAAAUUUUUUUCUAUUUUCUAUUUGAAAUUUUUAUUCAUUUUAUCGUUUUAUAUUUUUUUAUUCUCUAAUUUUUUAUUUUCUUACUUUUUUACUUUUUGUUUUUGUUUAUUUUUAAUUGUUAUUUUUUUAGUAUUUUAUUUUAUUUUUUUUCAAUUUUUUUAUUUUUGAUUAAUUAUUUUUUAUUAUCUUACCUUUUAUAUUUUUAUUGUAUUUUCGUUUUUUUUAUUUUUUUUGUUUUACUUUAAUAUUGUUUUCUUAUUUUAUUUUUAUUUUGGUUUAUUUUUUAUUUCUUUCUUUAUUUAAAUUUUCAUAAAUUUUUAGAAUGUUUUGGAUUUUUUAUUUUUCAUAAAUCUUUUGUCUUUUCAUUUUUAUUCUUUUCUUAAUUUUUUUUUCACAAAUUUCUUUUUAUUUCUUAUUUUCAUUUUCAAAUUCUUAUAGUUUCUUUUGUUGCAUUUUCUUCUUUGGUUUUCAUUUUUAUUUUGAAUUAACUUUUCUCUCUUUUAAUUUUUUGUCUUUGAUUUUUUAUAUUGUUUUCUUAUUAUUUCUUAUGUUUCAAUUUUUUGUAUUUUUAAAAUAUUUGUUUCUUUUGUCAUUCUUUCGUUUUGAAAUUUUUAUUCAAUUUUUUGCUUUUUUUUUUUACUUUUUAUAUUUUUUAUUGUAUUUUUUUUAUUUAUUUUAUUUAUUCUUUUAAUAUUUUUUAUUUUUAUUUUUAUUUCUUUAUUUAUAUUUGCAUAUAUUUUUAUAAGUUUUGGAUUUUUUUAUUUUUCUACCUCUUCUUUUUUAUUUAUCAUUGUUGGUUAUUUUUCUAUUGUUUUUUAUAAUUUCAUUUAUCUUUUCUUUUUAUAUUUUUUUUUUGUUUUCACUUUUUCUUUGUUUUAAAAUUUCUAUAAACUUGUUUCUUUUGUUUAUUUCAUUUUUUCCUUUCAUUUUUUAUUUUCUUGUUUCUAAUUUUUUUCACAAAAUUCUUUUAUUUCUUGUUUCCAUUUUUUUUUUACACUUCCUUAUUUUGGUUUUUAUUUUAUUUUGUUUUAACUUUUCCCUUUGUAAUUUUGUAUCUUUGAUUUUUUUAUUUUUUCUUAUUACAUUAUUUUUGCUUGUAUUUUCUAAAUUAAUUUUUUUCUACUUUCUCAUCCCUUUUCAUUUUUUGAACUUCUUUAAUUUUUUAUCUUUGAUUUUUUAUAUCUUUAUAUCUAUUAUUUUUUGUUUGUAAUUUUGUAACUUAAUUUUUUCUAUUUUGCCAUUUUUUUUCAUUUUUUAUUAUGUUUUGUAUUUUUUUUUUAAAUUUUUGACUCAUUUUUUCUUUUCCUUACUUUCUUUAUUUUUUAUUUUUUUCUUUUUUUAUUAUUAUUUUAUCUUUUUCCUUUUGCUUUUAAUACUUUUCUCUUUUUUUUUUCCUUUUACUUUUUUUUGUUAAUUUUUGUUAUUUUUUUAUAAAAAUUUUAUAAUGUUAUGGAUAUUUACUUUAUAUUUUAAUCUUUUUUUCUUUUGGUUUGUCUCAUUUUUGCUGUCAUUUUUUAUUUUUUUGGUAUUUUCUAUUCUAUUUUUAUAAUUCUUCAGUAAUUCUUUUUUUCUUUUUCUUUUAACUUAUUUGUUCAUUUGCUUUCUCUUUUUUGUUUUAAUUUUUUUUAUAUGUUUUGUAUUUUAAUUUUUUUAUUUUUUCUUGCUUUUUCUUAUAUCUUUUUGUUCACAUUUUUUUUUAUUUCUUCUUUACAAUUUUAAAAUCUCAAGACUUCUCUUUUUGUGUACUUCCUUUUGCUUUUAUUUAUAUUUUGUAUUGACUUUUUAUUUUAUUUUUUAUCUUUGAUUAUUUGUCCUUUUUUUAUUUUGUUAUAUUUUUUUUUGUUUCUCUUUGUAUAUUCUAAACUAAAAGUUUUUUCUAUUUUAUAUUUCAAAGUUUUCUUCACUUCGUCUUUUUAUAUUUUUUUAUUAGCUAAUUUUUUUAUUUUCUUCCUUUUUUAUUUUUUGUUUUUGUUUAUUUUUUCUUUUAUAUUAAUAUUUUUUCUUAAUUUAUUUUUUCAUUUUCUUAUUUUGUCUUUUUUUUUCCUAUUUUUUGUUCUAUUUUAUAACUUUUCAAAAACUUUUUUCCAUCAAAAUUUUCUUUCUUUUUGCUUUUUUUUUUUCACAUGCUUUCAUUUUAUUUUAUUUCAUUGUUUUAAUAUUUUUUACUUUCUCGUUUUCUUUUUUAUUUCAAAUCUUUGUCUUUUCAUUUUUAUUCUAUUCUUGCUUUUCUUUUUAUUUCUUAUUUGCGUUUUUAAAUUCUCGUACUUUUUUUUUCAAUUUCUCCUUUGGUUUUCAUUUUAUUUUGCAAUAACUUCUCUUUUUUAAUUUUUUGUCUUUGACCUUUUCUAUUGUUUUCUUGUUAUUUCUUAUAUGUUUUUCAAUUUUUUGUAUUUUUAAAACUAUUUUUUUUAUUUUGUCAUUCUUUUUCACUUUCUAAAUUUUUAUUCAAUUUUUGUAUUUUGAUUAAUUAUUUUUUAUUUUCUUACUUUUUAUAUUUUAUUGUAUUUUGUUUAUUUUUUAUUUUUUUGUUUUACUUUAAUAUUCUUUUCUUAUUUUAUUUUUAUUUGGUUUAUUUUUUAUUUCUUUCUUUAUUUAAAUUUUCAUAAAUGUUUAGAAUGUUUUGGAUUUUUUAUUUUUCAUAAAUCAUCUUUUGUCUUUUCAUUUUUAUUAUUUUCUUAAUUUUUUCACAAAUUUCUUUUUAUUUCUUAUUUUCAUUUUCAAAUUCUUAUAGUUUUUUUGUUGCAUUUUCUUCUUUGGUUUUCAUUUUUAUUUUGCAUUAACUUUUCUCUUUUUUAAUCUUUUGUCUUUGAUUUUUUAUAUUGUUUUCUUAUUAUUUCUUAUAUGUUUUUCAAUUUUUUGUAUUUUUUAAAAUAUUUUUUUUCUAUUUUGUCAUUUCCUUUCAUUUUUGAAAUUUUUAUUCAAUUUUUGUCUUUUUUUAUUUUUUGUUUUUGAUUCAUUAUUUUUUAUUUUCUUACUUUUUAUAUUUUUUAUUGUAUUUUUGUUUAUUUACAUUUUAUAUUUUUUCUUAUUUUUUAUUUUUUAUUCUUUCUUUAUUUAUAUUUCAUAAAUUUUUAUAAUGUUUUGGAUUUUUUUAUUUUUUAUCUUUUUAUCUUUUCUUUUUUAUUUAUCGUUGUUGGUUAUUUUCUAUUUGUAUUUUAUAAUUUUCCAUUAACUCCUUUUCCUUUUAAAUUUUUCCCUUUUUUUUACUUAUUUUUUCAUGUGCUUUCAUAUUUUUUUUUGUUUUCACUUUUUUCUUUGUUUAAAAUUUUCUAUAAAACUUUUUUCUUUUGUUUUAUUUCAUAUUUUUGCCUCUUCAUUUUUAUUUUUUCUUGUUUUUCGAAUUUUUUUCACAAAAUUCUUUAUUUCUUGUUUCCAUUUUUUUUCUUUUGCACUUCCUUGUUUGUUUUUAUUUUAUUUUGUUUUAACUUUUCCCUCUGUUAAUUUUGUAUCUUUGAUUUUUUUAUUUUUUCUUAUUACAUUAUUUUGCUUGUAUUUUCUAAAUUAAAUUUUUUCUUACUUUGUCAUCCCUUUUCAUUUUUUAACUUCUUUUAUUUUUAUCUCUGAUUUUUUAUAUCUUUAUCUUAUUAUUGUUAUUUUUUAUUAUUGUUUGUUUUUAAUAACUAAAUUGUUUUCUAUUUUGUCAUUUUUUCUUCAUUUUUGAAAUUUAUUAGCUUUUGUAUUUUACAAUUUUUCUUUUGACUCGUUAAUUUUUCAUUUCCUCACUUUUUAUUUUUUCUAUUUUGUGCUCUUUUUAAUCUUUUUUCCUUUUAUUUUUUAUUUUUAAUUUUGUUAUUUUGUUUUUUUAUAAAAUUUUAUAAUGUUAUGGACAUUAAAACAUUGUUGAAUGAGACUUUGAUUUCAUUAGAAAUUGAAGAUGUUAUGUGCAUGUAUACUAAUUAGAUAUUCUAAUUAAAUUCAUCUUGUAUUUUAUCUUGAAAUUUUUUAUUUUGUAAUUUAUCUGAUUAAAAUUAUUGUAUAAUUUAUCUUUUAUUUAAUAAAAAUUUGGAUUAUUUUAUUUAUUAUUUUGGAUUGUAUAAUAUUUAUCUUUUAUUUGAUACAAUUUGUUAAGAGAUAAUAAUUAUCUUUGUUAUUUUCUUUUGGAAUUUUAUUGGCUUAUAUAUAAUAACACUAGUUUGGAAUUGUUAUAUCUAUCACUAUUUACUUCAUGUAUUUAUAUUUUUACAUUUUUAACGAUUUAAAAAUUAAAAAUUAUAAAUUUAAAUCAAUAAAUUCAAAUCAAAAUAUUUUGCAUCUAAACUUUCAAAUUCAAAUUAAGUUUUAAAACAUAAAUUAAAGAUUGAACUUUGUAGAAUUUUUUUAUUUCUUUAUUUAUUUCCUUUUUUAAAGCUUUUUGUUUUUUUUUUUUACUUUUUAUACAUUUUCCUAAUUAUUCAUUUAUUAUAUUUUUGUUAUAUAGUGUAUUUUUCUUCUUUUUUUUUUUUUUUACAAAAAACCUUCUUUCUUAUCUUCAUUAUAUUAUUCUUUCACUACUUAUUUUCUUUUUGCUUUUGAUUUUUUUGUUGCUCUAAUCUAAUUGGUCAUUUACAUUAUUUCUAUUAUUUUUUUCUUUUUGUACUCUUUUUACUUUUUAUCUUUAUUUUUUCAUUUUUUUUCUUAAGGUUUUUCUUCUUUUUAUUUUUGGGUUUUUUUUGGCAUUUCUUUUAAUUUGUGUUUUUUAUCCACACUUCUUUCUUUUGUUUUAUUUUUUAUUAACUUUUUUCUUUUUUAAUCAUUGAUUUUUUAUAUCUUUAUUUCUUAUUAUUUGUUAUAUUUUUUAUUUUUCGUUUGUAUUUUAUAAACUAAAAUUUUUUCUAUUGUCUUUUUCUUUUCCUUUUUUCAUUUUUAUUAGUUUUUGUAUUUUUUUAAUUUUUUCUUUUAACUCAUUUUUUAAUUUUCUUACUUUUUUUAAUUGCGUUUUUGUUUAUUUUUAAUUUUUCUCUUUUUUAGUACUUAUUUUAUCUUUUUCCUUGUGCUUUACUAAUCUUUUAUUUUAUUUUUCCUUUUAUUUUUAUUGUUAAUUUUUGUUAUUUUUUAUAAAAAUUUUAUAAUGUUAUGGAUAUUUACUUUUAUUUUUUAAUCUUUCUUCUUUUGGUUUGUUUCAUUUUUUUUGCUAUUAUCUAUUCUAUUUUUAUAAUUUUUCAUUAAUUCCUUUUUUUCUUUUAAUUUAUUUGUUCAUUUGCUUUCAUUCUUUUUGUUUUAAUUAUUUUUAUAUAUUUUGUAUUUUCAUUUUUUAUUGUUUUCUUGCUUUUUCUUAUAUCUUUUUGUUCACACUUUUUUUUAUUUCUUCUUUACAAUUUUAAAAUCUUAGACUUUUGUUUUUUUUUGUGAACUUCCUUUUGAUUUUAUUUAUAUUUUGUAUUGACUUUUAUUUUAUUUUUUGUCUUUGAUUUUUUAUGUCUUUUUUUCUACAUUUGUUUUUUUUUUUUUUGUUUUUCUUUGUAUAUUCUAAACGAAAUUUUUUUCUAUUUUCUAUUUGAAAUUUUUAUUCAUUUUAUCGUUUUAUAUUUUUUUAUUCUCUAAUUUUUUAUUUUGUUACUUUUUACUUUUUGUUUGUUUAUUUUUAAUUGUAUUUUUUUAGAUUUUUUUUUUUUUUUAAUUUUGUAUUUUUGAUUAAUUAUUUUAUUAUUUACCUUUUUUAUUUUUUAUUGUAUUUUCUUUUUUUUAUUUUUGGGUUACUUAAUUUGUUUUCUUAUUUUUUUUUAUUGGUUUAUUUUUUUAUUUUCUUUCUAUUAAUUUUCUAAAUUUUUAGAAUGUUUUGAUUUUUUAUUUUCAAAAUCUUUUGUCCUUUUUCAUUUUUAUUCUUUCCUUAAUUUUUUUUUCAACAAAUUUCUUUUAUUUCUUAUCUUGUACUUUUCAAAUUCUUAUCGUUUCUUUUGUUGCAUUUUCUUCUUUGGUUUUCAUUUUUAUUUUGAAUUAACUUUUCUCUCUUUUAAUUUUUUGUCUUUGAUUUUUAUAUUGUUUCUUAUUAUUUCUUAUAUGUUUUUCAAUUUUUUGUAUUUUUUAAAAUAUUUUUUCUAUUUUGUCAUUUCCUUUCAUUUUUGAAAUUUUUAUUCAAUUUUUGCCUUUUUUUUUCUUACUUUUUAUAUUUUUUAUUGUAUUUUUGUUUAUUUUAUUUUAUUUUUUUCUUAAUAUUUUUUUCUUAUUUUUAUUUUUAAUUUCUUUCUUUAUUUAUAUUUUCAUAAAUUUUUAUAAUGUUUUGGAUUUUUUAUUUUUCUACCUUUUUUUCUUUUCUUUUUUAUUUAUCAUUGUUGGUUAUUUUCUAUUGUAUUUUUAUAAUUUUUCAUUAACUCCUUUUCCUUUUUUUACUUAUUUUUCAUGUGCUUCAUAUUUUUUUUUGUUUUCACUUUUUCUUUGUUUUAAAAUUUUCUAUAAAACUUUUUUUCUUUUGUUUUAUUUCAUAUUUUUACCUCUUCAUUUUUUAUUUUUUCUUGUUUUUCUAAUUUUUUUCACAAAAUUCUUUUUAUUUCUUGUUUCAUUUUUUUUUUACACUUCCUUAUUUUGUUUUAACUUUUCCCUCUGUUAAUUUUUGUAUCUUUGAUUUUUUUUUCUUAUUACAUUAUUUUGCUUGUAUUUUCUAAAUUAAAUUUUUUUCUACUUUCUCAUCCCUUUUCAUUUUUGAACUUCUUUUAAUUUUUAUCUUUGAUUUUUAUAUCUUUAUAUCUUAUUAUUUUUUGUUUGUAUUUUGUAAACUUAAUUUUUUCUAUUUUGCCAUUUUUUUCAUUUUAUUAGUUUUUGUAUUUUUUUAAAAUUUUUUGACUCAUUUUUCUUUUCCUUACUUCUUUAUUUUUUUAUUUUUUUUCUUUUUUUAUUACUUAUUUUAUCUUUUUCCUUUUGCUUUAAUACUUUCUCUUAUUUUUUUCCUUUUACUUUUUUUGGUUAAUUUUUGUUAUUUUUUAUAAAAAUUUUAUAAUGUUAUGGAUAUUUACUUUAUAUUUUAAUCUUUUUUUCUUUUGGUUUGUCUCAUUUUUGCUGUCAUUUUUUAUUUUUUUGGUAUUUUCUAUUCUAUUUUUAUAAUUCUUCAGUAAUUCUUUUUCUUUUCUUUUAACUUAUUUGUUCAUUUGCUUUCUCUUUUUUUUAAUUUUUUUUAUAUGUUUGUAUUUUAAUUUUUUUAUUUUUUCUUUUUCUAUAUCUUUUGUUCACAUUUUUUUUUUAUUUCUUCUUUGCAAUUUAAAUCUCAAGACUUCUCUUUUUGUGUACUUCCUUUUGCUUUUAUUUAUAUUUUGUAUUGACUUUUAUUUUUUUUAUCUUUGAUAUUCCUUUUUUAUAUUUGUUAUAUUUUUUUUUGUUUCUCUUUGUAUAUUCUAAACUAAAAGUUUUUUCUAUUUUAUAUUUCAAAGUUUUCUUCACUUCGUCUUUUUAUAUUUUUUUAUUAGCUAAUUUUUUUAUUUUCUUCCUUUUUUAUUUUUUGUUUUUGUUUAUUUUUUUCUUUAUAUUAAUAUUUUUAUUAAUUUAUUUCAUUUAUUUUUAUUUUUAUUUUUUGAAUCUUUUUUAUUUUUUCAUUUUCUUAUUUUGUCUUUUUUUUUCCUAUUUUUUGUUCUAUUUUAUAAUUUUUCAAAAACUUUUUUCCAUCAAAAUUUUCUUUCUUUUUGCUUUUUUUUUUUUCACAUGCUUUCAUUUUUAUUUUAUUUCAUUGUUUUAAUAUUUUUUACUUUCUCGUUUUCUUUUUUAUUUCAAAUCUUUUGUCUUUUCAUUUUUAUUCUAUUCUUGCUUUUCUUUUUAUUUCUUAUUUGCGUUUUUAAAUUCUCGUACUUUUUUUUUCAAUUUCUCCUUUGGUUUUCAUUUUUAUUUUGCAAUAACUUCUCUUUUUUAAUUUUUUGUCUUUGACCUUUUCUAUUGUUUUCUUGUUAUUUCUUAUAUGUUUUUCAAUUUUUUGUAUUUUUAAAACUAUUUUUUUUUAUUUUGUCAUUCUUUUUCACUUUCUAAAUUUUUAUUCAAUUUUUGUAUUUUUGAUUAAUUAUUUUUUAUUUUCUUACUUUUUAUAUUUUUAUUGUAUUUUUGUUUAUUUUUUAUUUUUUUUGUUUUACUUUAAUAUUCUUUUCUUAUUUUAUUUUUAUUUCUUUCUUUAUUUAAAUUUUCAUAAAUGUUUAGAAUGUUUUGGAUUUUUUAUUUUUCAUAAAUCUUUUGUCUUUUCAUUUUUAUUAUUUUCUUAAUUUUUUCACAAAUUUCUUUUUAUUUCUUAUUUUCAUUUUCAAAUUCUUAUAGUUUUUUUGUUGCAUUUUCUUCUUUGGUUUUCAUUUUUAUUUUGCAUUAACUUUUCUCUUUUUUAAUCUUUUGUCUUUGAUUUUUUAUAUUGUUUUCUUAUUAUUUCUUAUAUGUUUUUCAAUUUUUUGUAUUUUUUAAAAUAUUUUUUUUCUAUUUUGUCAUUUCCUUUCAUUUUUGAAAUUUUUAUUCAAUUUUUGUCUUUUUUUAUUCAUUAUUUUUUAUUUUCUUACUUUUUAUAUUUUUUAUUGUAUUUUUGUUUAUUUACAUUUUAUAUUUUUUUCUUAUUUUUAUUUUUUAUUUCUUUCUUUAUUUAUAUUUUCAUAAAUUUUUAUAAUGUUUUGGAUUUUUUUAUUUUUUUAUCUUUUUAUCUUUUCUUUUUUAUUUAUCGUUGUUGGUUAUUUUCUAUUGUAUUUUUAUAAUUUUCCAUUAACUCCUUUUCCUUUUAAAUUUUUCCCUUUUUUUACUUAUUUUUUCAUGUGCUUUCAUAUUUUUUUUUUGUUUUCACUUUUUUCUUUGUUUUAAAAUUUUCUAUAAAACUUUUUUUCUUUUUGUUUUAUUUCAUAUUUUUGCCUCUUCAUUUUUUAUUUUUUCUUGUUUUUCGAAUUUUUUUCACAAAAUUCUUUUAUUUCUUGUUUCCAUUUUUUUUCUUUUGCACUUCCUUGUUUUGUUUUUAUUUUUAUUUUGUUUUAACUUUUCCCUCUGUUAAUUUUUGUAUCUUUGAUUUUUUUAUUUUUUUCUUAUUACAUUAUUUUUGCUUGUAUUUUCUAAAUUAAAUUUUUUUUCUACUUUGUCAUCCCUUUUCAUUUUUUAACUUCUUUUAAUUUUUUAUCUCUGAUUUUUUAUAUCUUUAUAUCUUAUUAUUUGUUAUAUUUUUUUAUUAUUUGUUUGUAUUUUAUAAACUAAAUUUGUUUUCUAUUUUGUCAUUUUUUCUUCGUUUUUGAAAUUUUUAUUAGCUUUUGUAUUUUUACAAUUUUUUCUUUUGACUCGUUAAUUUUUCAUUUCCUCACUUUUUUAUUUUUUCUAUUUUGUGCUCUUUUUAAUCUUUUUUCCUUUUAUUUUUUAUUUUUAAUUUUUGUUAUUUUGUUUUUUUAUAAAAAUUUUAUAAUGUUAUGGACAUUAAAACAUUGUUGAAUGAGACUUUGAUUUCAUUAGAAAUUGAAGAUGUUAUGUGCAUGUAUACUAAUUAGAUAUCUAAUUAAAUUCAUCUUGUAUUUUAUCUUGAAAUUUAUUUUUAUUUAUCGUGUAAUUUAUCUUUUAUUUAAUAAAAUUUGGAUUAUUUUUAUUUAUUAUUUUGGAUUGUAUAAUAUUUAUCUUUUAUUUGAUACAAUUUGUUAAGAGAUAAUAAUUAUCUUUGUUAUUUUCUUUUGGAAUUUUAUUGGCUUAUAUAUAAUAACACCAGUUUGGAAUUGUUAUAUCUAUCACUAUUUACUUCAUGUAUUUAUAUUUUUACAUUUUUAACGAUUUAAAAAUUAAAAAAAUUUUAAAUUUAAAUCAAUAAAUUCAAAUCAAAAUAUUUUGCAUCUAAACUUUCAAAUUCAAAUUAAGUUUUAAAACAUAAAUUAAAGAUUGAACUUUGUAGAAUUUUUUUAUUUCUUUAUUUAUUUCCUUUUUUAAAGCUUUUUGUUUUUUUUUUUUUACUUUUUAUACAUUUUCCUAAUUAUUCAUUUAUUAUAUUUUUGUUAUAUAGUGUAUUUUUCUUCUUUUUUUUUUUUUUUUUACAAAAAACCUUCUUUCUUAUCUUCAUUAUAUUAUUCUUUCACUACUUAUUUUCUUUUUGCUUUUGAUUUUUUUGUUGCUCUAAUCUAAUUGGUCAUUUACAUUAUUUUCUAUUAUUUUUUUCUUUUUGUACUCUUUUUACUUUUUAUCUUUAUUUUUUUCAUUUUUUUUCUUAAGGUUUUUCUUCUUUUUAUUUUUGGGUUUUUUUGGCAUUUCUUUUUAAUUUGUGUUUUUAUCCACACUUCUUUCUUUUGUUUUUAUUUUUUAUUAACUUUUUUCUUUUUUUAAUCAUUGAUUUUUUAUAUCUUUAUUUCUUAUUAUUUGUUAUAUUUUUUAUUUUUCGUUUGUAUUUUAUAAACUAAAAUUUUUUCUAUUGUCUUUUUCUUUUCCUUUUUUCAUUUUUAUUAGUUUUUGUAUUUUUUUAAUUUUUCUUUUAACUCAUUUUUUAAUUUUCUUACUUUUUUUAAUUGCGUUUUUGUUUAUUUUUAAUUUUUCUCUUUUUUAGUACUUAUUUUAUCUUUUUCCUUGUGCUUUACUAAUCUUUUAUUUUAUUUUUCCUUUUAUUUUUAUUGUAAUUUUUGUUAUUUUUAUAAAAAUUUUAUAAUGUUAUGGAUAUUUACUUUUAUUUUUUUAAUCUUUUCUUCUUUUGGGUUUGUUUCAUUUUUUUGCUAUUAUCUAUUCUAUUUUAUAUUUUCAUUAAUUCCUUUUUUUCUUUUAAUUUAUUUGUUCAUUUGCUUUCAUUCUUUUGUUUUAAUUAUUUUUAUUAAUUUGUUUUAUUUUUUAUUGUUUUCUUGCUUUCUUAUACUUUGUUCACACUUUUUUAUUCUUCUUUACAUUUUUAAAUCUAGACUUUGUUUUUUUUUGUGAACUCCUUUUGAUUUUAUUUAUAUUUGUAUUGACUUUUAUUUUAUUUUUUGUCUUUGAUUUUUAUGUCUUUUUUCUACAUUUGUUUUUUUUUUUUUGUUUUUCUUUGUAUAUUCUAAACGAAAUUUUUUUCUAUUUCUAUUUGAAAUUUUAUUCAUUUUAUCGUUUUAUAUUUUUUUAUUCUCUAAUUUUUAUUUCUUACUUUUUACUUUGUUUUUGGUUUAUUUUAAUUGUUAUUUUUUAGUAUUUUAUUUUAUUUUUUUUUCCAAUUUUUUAUUUUGAUUAAUUUAUUUUUUAUUAUCUUACCUUUUAUAUUUUUAUUGCUCUUCGUUUUUUUUAAUUUUUUGUUUUACUUUAUAUCGGUUUUCUUAUUUUAUUUUUAUUCUUGGUUAUUUUUUAUUUCUUUCUUUAUUAAAUUUUCCCAUAAAUUUUUAGAAUGUUUGGAUUUUAUUUUUCAUAAAUCUUUGUCUUUUUCAUUUUAUUCUUUUCUAAUUUUUUUUCCAAAUUUCUUUUUAUUUCUUAUUUUCAUUUUCAAAUUCUUAUAGUUUCUUUUUGUUGCAUUUUCUUCUUUGGUUUUCAUUUUUAUUUUGAAUUAACUUUUCUCUCUUUUAAUUUUUGUCUUUGAUUUUUUAUAUUGUUUUCUUAUUAUUUCUUAUAUGUUUUUCAAUUUUUUGUAUUUUUUAAAAUAUUUUUUUCUAUUUUGUCAUUUCCUUUCAUUUUUGAAAUUUUUAUUCAAUUUUUGCCUUUUUUCUUACUUUUAUAUUUUAUUAUUUAUUUUUAUUUUUUUUUUUCUUUAAUAUUUUUUUCUUAUUUUAUUUUUAAUUUCUUUCUUUAUUUAUAUUUUCAUAAAUUUUUAUAAUGUUUUGGAUUUUUUUAUUUUUCUAUCUUUUUUUCUUUUCUUUUUUUAUUUAUCAUUGUUGGUUAUUUUCUAUUGUAUUUUUAUAAUUUUUCAUUAACUCCUUUUCCUUUUUUUACUUAUUUUUUUUUUUUGUUUUCACUUUUUCUUUGUUUUAAAAUUUUCUAUAAAACUUUUUUUCUUUGUUUUAUUUCAUAUUUUUACCUCUUCAUUUUUUAUUUUUUCUUGUUUUUCUAAUUUUUUUCACAAAAUUCUUUUAUUUCUUGUUUCCAUUUUUUUUUUACACUUCUUAUUUUGUUUUAACUUUCCCUCUGUUAAUUUUUGUAUCUUUGAUUUUUUCUUAUUACAUUAUUUUUGCUUGUAUUUCUAAAUUAAUUUUUUUCUACUUUCUCAUCCCCUUUUCAUUUUGAACUUCUUUUAAUUUUUAUCUUUUGAUUUUUAUAUCUUUAUAUCUUAUUAUUUUUUGUUUGUUAUUUUGUAAACUUAAUUUUUUCUAUUUUGCCAUUUUUUUCAUUUUUAUUAGUUUUUGUAUUUUUUUUAAAAUUUUUUGACUCAUUUUUCUUUUCCUUACUUCUUUAUUUUUUUAUUUUUUUUCUUUUUUAUUACUUAUUUUAUCUUUUCCUUUUGCUUUAAUACUUUCUCUAUUUUUUUUCCUUUUACUUUUUUUGUUAAUUUUUGUUAUUUUUUAUAAAAAUUUUAUAAUGUUAUGGAUAUUUACUUUAAUAUUUAAUCUUUUUCUUUUGGUUUGUCUCAUUUUUGCUGUCAUUUUUAUUUUUUUUGGUAUUUUCUAUUCUAUUUUUAAAUUCUUCAGUAAUUCUUUUUUUCUUUUUCUUUUAACUUAUUUGUUCAUUUGCUUUCUCUUUUUUGUUUUAAUUUUUUUUAUAUGUUUUGUAUUUUAAUUUUUUUAUUUUUUCUUGCUUUUUCUUAUAUCUUUUUGUUCACAUUUUUUUUUUAUUUCUUCUUUGCAAUUUUAAAAUCUCAAGACUUCUCUUUUGUGUACUUCCUUUUGCUUUUAUUUAUAUUUUGUAUUGACUUUUUAUUUUAUUUUUAUCUUUGAUUAUUUGUCCUUUUUUUAUAUUUUUAUUUUUUUUGUUUCUCUUUGUAUAUUCUAAACUAAAAGUUUUUUCUAUUUUAUAUUUCAAAGUUUUCUUCACUUCGUCUUUUUAUAUUUUUUUAUUAGCUAAUUUUUUUAUUUUCUUCCUUUUUUAUUUUUUGUUUUUGUUUAUUUUUUCUUUUAUAUUAAUAUUUUAUUAAUUUAUUUUUUAUUUUUUUAUUUUUUGAAUCUUUUUUAUUUUUUCAUUUUCUUAUUUUGUCUUUUUUUUCCUAUUUUUUGUUCUAUUUUAUAAUUUUUCAAAAACUUUUUUCCAUCAAAAUUUUCUUUUUUUUGCUUUUUUUUUUUUCACAUGCUUUCAUUUUUAUUUUAUUUCAUUGUUUUAAUAUUUUUUACUUUCUCGUUUUCUUUUUUAUUUCAAAUCUUUUGUCUUUUCAUUUUUAUUCUAUUCUUGCUUUUCUUUUUAUUUCUUAUUUGCGUUUUUAAAUUCUCGUACUUUUUUUUCAAUUUCUCCUUUGGUUUUCAUUUUUAUUUUGCAAUAACUUCUCUUUUUUAAUUUUUUGUCUUUGACCUUUUCUAUUGUUUUCUUGUUAUUUCUUAUAUGUUUUUCAAUUUUUUGUAUUUUUAAAACUAAUUUUUUUUAUUUUGUCAUUCUUUUUCACUUUCUAAAUUUUUAUUCAAUUUUUGUAUUUUUGAUUAAUUAUUUUUUAUUUUCUUACUUUUUAUAUUUUUAUUGUAUUUUUGUUUUUUUUUGUUUUACUUUAAUAUUCUUUUCUUAUUUUAUUUUUAUUUGGUUUAUUUUUUAUUUCUUUCUUUAUUUAAAUUUUCAUAAAUGUUUAGAAUGUUUUGGAUUUUUUAUUUUUCAUAAAUCAUCUUUUGUCUUUUCAUUUUUAUUAUUUUCUUAAUUUUUUCACAAAUUUCUUUUUAUUUCUUAUUUUCAUUUUCAAAUUCUUAUAGUUUUUUUGUUGCAUUUUCUUCUUUGGUUUUCAUUUUUAUUUUGCAUUAACUUUUCUCUUUUUUAAUUUUUUGUCUUUGAUUUUUAUAUUGUUUUCUUAUUAUUUCUUAUAUGUUUUUCAAUUUUUUGUAUUUUUUAAAAUAUUUUUUUUCUAUUUUGUCAUUUCCUUUCAUUUUGAAAUUUUUAUUCAAUUUUUGUCUUUUUUAUUUUUUGUUUUUGAUUCAUUAUUUUUUAUUUUCUUACUUUUUAUAUUUUUUAUUGUAUUUUUGUUUAUUUACAUUUUAUUUUUUUCUUAUUUUUAUUUUUAUUUCUUUCUUUAUUUAUAUUUUCAUAAAUUUUAUAAUGUUUUGGAUUUUUUAUUUUUUAUCUUUUUAUCUUUUCUUUUUUAUUUAUCGUUGUUGGUUAUUUUCUAUUGUAUUUUAUAAUUUUCCAUUAACUCCUUUUCCUUUUAAAUUUUUCCCUUUUUUUUACUUAUUUUUUCAUGUGCUUUCAUAUUUUUUUUUUGUUUUCACUUUUUUCUUUGUUUUAAAAUUUUCUAUAAAACUUUUUUUCUUUUUGUUUUAUUUCAUAUUUUUGCCUCUUCAUUUUUUAUUUUUUCUUGUUUUUCGAAUUUUUUUCACAAAAUUCUUUUAUUUCUUGUUUCCAUUUUUUUUCUUUUGCACUUCCUUGUUUUGUUUUUAUUUUUAUUUUGUUUUAACUUUUCCCUCUGUUAAUUUUUGUAUCUUUGAUUUUUUUUAUUUUUUUCUUAUUACAUUAUUUUUGCUUGUAUUUUCUAAAUUAAAUUUUUUUCUACUUUGUCAUCCCUUUUCAUUUUUUAACUUCUUUUAAUUUUUUAUCUCUGAUUUUUUAUAUCUUUAUAUCUUAUUAUUUGUUUGUAUUUUAUAAACUAAAUUUGUUUUCUAUUUUGUCAUUUUUUCUUCGUUUUUGAAAUUUUUAUUAGCUUUUGUAUUUUUACAAUUUUUUCUUUUGACUCGUUAAUUUUUCAUUUCCUCACUUUUUUAUUUUUUCUAUUUUGUGCUCUUUUUAAUCUUUUUUCCUUUUAUUUUUUAUUUUUAAUUUUUGUUAUUUUGUUUUUUUAUAAAAAUUUUAUAAUGUUAUGGACAUUAAAACAUUGUUGAAUGAGACUUUGAUUUCAUUAGAAAUUGAAGAUGUUAUGUGCAUGUAUACUAAUUAGAUAUCUAAUUAAAUUCAUCUUGUAUUUUAUCUUGAAAUUUAUUUUUAUUUAUCGUGUAAUUUAUCUUUUAUUUAAUAAAAUUUGGAUUAUUUUUAUUUAUUAUUUUGGAUUGUAUAAUAUUUAUCUUUUAUUUGAUACAAUUUGUUAAGAGAUAAUAAUUAUCUUUGUUAUUUUCUUUUGGAAUUUUAUUGGCUUAUAUAUAAUAACACCAGUUUGGAAUUGUUAUAUCUAUCACUAUUUACUUCAUGUAUUUAUAUUUUUACAUUUUUAACGAUUUAAAAAUUAAAAAAAUUUUAAAUUUAAAUCAAUAAAUUCAAAUCAAAAUAUUUUGCAUCUAAACUUUCAAAUUCAAAUUAAGUUUUAAAACAUAAAUUAAAGAUUGAACUUUGUAGAAUUUUUUUAUUUCUUUAUUUAUUUCCUUUUUUAAAGCUUUUUGUUUUUUUUUUUUACUUUUUAUACAUUUUCCUAAUUAUUCAUUUAUUAUAUUUUUGUUAUAUAGUGUAUUUUUCUUUUUUUUUUUUUUUUACAAAAAACCUUCUUUCUUAUCUUCAUUAUAUUAUUCUUUCACUACUUAUUUUCUUUUUGCUUUUGAUUUUUUUGUUGCUCUAAUCUAAUUGGUCAUUUACAUUAUUUUCUAUUAUUUUUUUCUUUUUGUACUCUUUUUACUUUUUAUCUUUAUUUUUUUCAUUUUUUUUCUUAAGGUUUUUCUUCUUUUUAUUUUUGGGUUUUUUUUGGCAUUUCUUUUUAAUUUGUGUUUUUUAUCCACACUUCUUUCUUUUGUUUUUAUUUUUUAUAACUUUUUUUUUUUUAAUCAUUGAUUUUUUAUAUCUUUAUUUCUUAUUAUUUGUUAUAUUUUUUAUUUUUCGUUUGUAUUUUAUAAACUAAAAUUUUUUCUAUUGUCUUUUUCUUUUCCUUUUUUCAUUUUUAUUAGUUUUUGUAUUUUUUUAAUUUUUUCUUUUAACUCAUUUUUUAAUUUUCUUACUUUUUUUAAUUGCGUUUUUUUUAUUUUUAAUUUUUCUCUUUUUUAGUACUUAUUUUAUCUUUUUCCUUGUGCUUUACUAAUCUUUUAUUUUAUUUUUCCUUUUAUUUUUAUUGUUAAUUUUUGUUAUUUUUAUAAAAAUUUUAUAAUGUUAUGGAUAUUUACUUUUAUUUUUUAAUCUUUUCUUCUUUUGGUUUGUUUCAUUUUUUUUGCUAUUAUCUAUUCUAUUUUUAUAAUUUUUCAUUAAUUCCUUUUUUUCUUUUAAUUUAUUUGUUCAUUUGCUUUCAUUCUUUUUGUUUUAAUUAUUUUAUAUAUUUUGUAUUUUCAUUUUUUAUUGUUUUCUUGCUUUUUCUUAUAUCUUUUUGUUCACACUUUUUUUUAUUUCUUCUUUACAAUUUUAAAAUCUUAGACUUUUGUUUUUUUUUGUGAACUUCCUUUUGAUUUUAUUUAUAUUUUGUAUUGACUUUUAUUUUAUUUUUUGUCUUUGAUUUUUUAUGUCUUUUUUUCUACAUUUGUUUUUUUUUUUUUUGUUUUUCUUUGUAUAUUCUAAACGAAAAUUUUUUUCUAUUUUCUAUUUGAAAUUUUUAUUCAUUUUAUCGUUUUAUAUUUUUUUAUUCUCUAAUUUUUUAUUUUCUUACUUUUUUACUUUUUGUUUUUGUUUAUUUUUAAUUGUUAUUUUUUAGUAUUUUUUUUAUUUUUUUUCAAUUUUCGUAUUUUUGAUUAAUUAUUUUUUAUUAUCUUACCUUUUAUAUUUUUAUUGUAUUUUUGUUUUUUUAUUUUUUUUGUUUUACUUUAAUAUUGUUUUCUUAUUUUAUUUUUAUUUUGGUUUAUUUUUUAUUUCUUUCUUUAUUUAAAUUUUCAUAAAUUUUUAGAAUGUUUUGGAUUUUUUAUUUUUCAUAAAUCUUUUGUCUUUUCAUUUUUAUUCUUUUCUUAAUUUUUUUUCACAAAUUUCUUUUUAUUUCUUAUUUUCAUUUUCAAAUUCUUAUAGUUUCUUUUGUUGCAUUUUCUUCUUUGGUUUUCAUUUUUAUUUUGAAUUAACUUUUCUCUCUUUUAAUUUUUUGUCUUUGAUUUUUUAUAUUGUUUUCUUAUUAUUUCUUAUAUGUUUUUCAAUUUUUUGUAUUUUUUAAAAUAUUUUUUUCUAUUUUGUCAUUUCCUUUCAUUUUUGAAAUUUUUAUUCAAUUUUUGUCUUUUUUUUUCUUACUUUUUAUAUUUUUUAUUGUAUUUUUG
rnacentral:lncRNA from 1 species